AUUGAACGCUGGCGGCAUGCUUUACACAUGCAAGUCGAACGGCAGCGCGGGCUUCGGCCUGGCGGCGAGUGGCGAACGGGUGAGUAAUACAUCGGAACGUGCCCAGUAGGGGGGGAUAGCUCGGCGAAAGCCGGAUUAAUACCGCAUACGACCUGAAGGUGAAAGCGGGGGAUCUUCGGACCUCGCGCUAUUGGAUCGGCCGAUGGCAGAUUAGCUAGUUGGUGGGGUAAAGGCCUACCAAGGCGACGAUCUGUAGCUGGUCUGAGAGGACGACCAGCCACACUAGGACUGAGACACGGCCCAGACUCCUACGGGAGGCAGCAGAGGGGAAUUUUGGACAAUGGGCGAAAGCCUGAUCCAGCAAUGCCGCGUGUGUGAUGAAGGCCUUCGGGUUGUAAAGCACUUUUGGCGGGAACGAAAAGGACUGUGCCAAUACCACGGUUCGAUGACGGUACCCGCAGAAUAAGCACCGGCUAACUACGUG
rnacentral:rRNA from 1 species